rnacentral:rRNA from 1 species
UCGACUGUUUACCAAAAACAUAGCCUUAAAUAAAAACUUAAGGUGUAACCUGCCCAGUGAUUUUUAAUUUAUAAUAUUAAAUUAAUUUAAAUAAAAUUAAACGGACGCAGUAUCUUGACUGUGGUAAUGUAGCAUAAUCAUUUGCCAUUUAAUUGGUGGAUAGUAUGAAUGGUUAAACGAAUUCUUCACUGUCUUAAGAAAAAAAUUUAUAAAAUUGAAAUAAUAGUUAAGAUGCUAUUUAAAAUUGUAAGACGAAAAGACCCUAUAGAGCUUAACUAAAAUUUUUCUUAAAUUAAAUAGUUAAAAAUCUUUUUAAAAAGAAAAACUGAUAGUUUAGUUGGGGCGACUACCUUUUAUUAAUAACAAAGGUAAACAAAAUUAAUAUUUUAAUUUAUUGUAUAAUUAAUAAAUUUAACAAUUAUAAAAAUAGGUUAUAAUGACCCGUUAUAAGAAAAAAACAACAAUAACGAUUAAUAAAUAAAAGCUACCUUAGGGAUAACAGAAUAAUUUUAAUUUAGAGAUCCUAUCGAAAUUAAAGUUUGUCACCUCUAUGUUGAAUUAAGAUAUCCUAAUAAUGCAGAAGUUAUUAAGGGUAGGUCUGUUCGACCUUUAAAAUCUUACAUGAUUUGAGUUCAUUCCGU